rnacentral:rRNA from 1 species
UCAGUAACACGUAGUCAACUUACCCUAUGGACGAGGAUAAUCUCGGGAAACUGAGCAUAAUACUCGAUAGAUCAUAAUGCCUGGAAUGGUUUAUGAUUAAAAUGAUUCGUCGCCAUAGGAUGGGACUGCGGCCUAUCAGCUUGUUGGUGAGGUAAUGGCCCACCAAGGCGAUUACAGGUACGGGCUCUGAGAGGAGAAGCCCGGAGAUGGGUACUGAGACAAGGACCCAGGCCCUAUGGGGCGCAGCAGGCGAGAAAACUUUGCAAUGUGCGAAAGCACGACAAGGUUAAUCCGAGUGAUUUCUGCUAAAGAAAUCUUUUGCAAGUCAUAAAACCACUAGUGAAUAAGGGGGGGGCAAGUUCUGGUGUCAGCCGCCGCGGUAAAACCAGCACCUCAAGUGGUCAGGAGGAUUAUUGGGCCUAAAGCAUCCGUA